GUAGUUGGAACCACCUUCCCUCGUGCUGCCUGAAUUCGGUUACAUCGUCGCGAGUUGGAAGAAGACGUGACGAACACGAACACUCGUACACGUACACUCACACUCUUCAUUACGUGCACGCCUGAGCUACUUAUAUUGUGCUGUAUUUUUGGCGGCCGAUGUCAGACGCCUCCGCGAAGGUAGCUAAGAAAGCGGGAUCAUCACUCAGCACCACCACUGUCACGCACCAAGAGGACACCCGCAGCUGGGGACGAGCUUCUGGGAUCUCGUGGCAGGCACUGCACGAAGCAAGCAGACAGACAUCAGCAGAAGCAGCAACUGAACUUUCUUCCACAUGUUUUAGUCGCGGAAAAGGUGGAAGACGUCGAUAAUACACUGGUGGUUAUAUCUGUGUCGAAUGUUUAUAAAUUUGGAGAUAGGUUGAUGCGAAUGAUAAAUUAAUGUAUUUUUGAGCAUUAACUGAUGCUUGGUCACCCAUAAUGAUGUAUAGUUCAAGUAUGGAGAUUGAUGCGAAUGAUAGAUUAAUGUAUUUUUGUGCAUUAACUGAUCCUCUUGGUCACCCUUAAUGAUGCAUAGUUCAAGUAUGGAGAGAGAGUGUUAGAGAGAGAGAGAGAGAGAGAGAGAGAGAGAGAGAGAGAGAGAGAGAGAGAGAGAGAGAGAGAGAGAGAGAGAGAGAGAGAGAGAGAGAGAGAGAGAGAGAGAGAGAGAGAGAGAGAGAGAGAAUUACUGAUAUGAUAUUUUCAUUACAUGUACAAAAUUAUGAUAAUGUAGUGCCAAAGUACGAAAUAUUGCGUAGGUAGGGAUAUUGUGUGUGUGUGUGUGUGUGUGUGUGUGUGUGUGUGUGUGUGUGUUUGUUUGUGUGGUCCAACUUGUAACCAACGACCCAGACCUUGCUGGCCGCGGAGAGAGAAUGAUGGAGGCUACUGCCGUCACGGUAUUUCAGUGCAGGAAGAAUACUGUGUAGCCGGUAGCACUCAUGCGUGCUGAAUGUAAUGAAUGAUCUCACCUUUCUGAUUCGAGUUGUUAUAAAUUUUAACCAUUC